UCCAGACUCCUACGGGAGGCAGCAGUGGGGAAUAUUGCACAAUGGGGGGAACCCUGAUGCAGCGACGCCGCGUGGGUGAAGGAGCGCCUCGGUGCGUAAAGCCCUAUCGGCAGGGAAGAAACAGACGGUACUUGACUAAGAAGCCCCGGCUAACUACGUGCCAGCAGCCGCGGUAAUACGUAGGGGGCAAGCGUUAUCCGGAUUUACUGGGUGUAAAGGGAGCGUAGACGGCAGCGCAAGUCUGAAGUGAAAUGCCAGGGCUUAACCCUGGAACUGCUUUGGAAACUGUGCAGCUAGAGUGCAGGAGAGGUAAGUGGAAUUUCUAGUGUAGCGGUGAAAUGCGUAGAUAUUAGGAGGAACACCAGUGGCGAAGGCGGCUUACUGGACUGUAACUGACGUUGAGGCUCGAAAGCGUGGGGAGCAAACAGGAUUAGAUACCCUCGUA
rnacentral:rRNA from 1 species